rnacentral:rRNA from 1 species
AACGAACGCUGGCGGCAUGCCUAACACAUGCAAGUCGAACGAGACCUUCGGGUCUAGUGGCGCACGGGUGCGUAACGCGUGGGAAUCUGCCCUUGGGUUCGGAAUAACAGUUGGAAACGACUGCUAAUACCGGAUGAUGACGUAAGUCCAAAGAUUUAUCGCCCAAGGAUGAGCCCGCGUAGGAUUAGCUAGUUGGUGAGGUAAAGGCUCACCAAGGCGACGAUCCUUAGCUGGUCUGAGAGGAUGAUCAGCCACACUGAGACUGAGACACGGCCCAGACUCCUACGGGAGGCAGCAGUGGGGAAUAUUGGACAAUGGGCGAAAGCCUGAUCCAGCAAUGCCGCGUGAGUGAUGAAGGCCUUAGGGUUGUAAAGCUCUUUUACCCGGGAUGAUAAUGACAGUACCGGGAGAAUAAGCUCCGGCUAACUCCGUG